GACGGAGGUGCCAAGCGUUAGGCGGAAUCACUGGGCUUAAAGCGUGUGUAGGUGGAAUGGUAAGUACCUUGUGAAAUCCCACGGCUCAACCGUGGAACUGCUCGGUAUACUGCUUUUCUUGAGCCACUUAGGGGCUGUCGGAACAAACGGUGGAGUGGUGAAAUGCGUAGAUAUCGUUUGGAACGCCAACGGUGAAAACAGACAGCUGGGAGUGUGCUGACGCUGAGACACGAAAGCCAGGGGAGCGAACGGG
rnacentral:rRNA from 1 species